rnacentral:rRNA from 1 species
UACGUAGGUGGCAAGCGUUAUCCGGAUUUACUGGGUGUAAAGGGAGCGUAGACGGUAAUGUAAGUCUGAUGUGAAAGCCCGGGGCUCAACCCCGGGACUGCAUUGGAAACUAUGUAACUAGAGUACCGGAGAGGUAAGCGGAAUUCCUAGUGUAGCGGUGAAAUGCGUAGAUAUUAGGAGGAACACCAGUGGCGAAGGCGGUCUGCUGGACAGCAACUGACGCUGAGGCGCGAAAGCGUGGGGAGCAAACAGG